UCAUGGCGGGGAGAUUUAUUUAUGGGAUUAACGCAGGCAUGGGCCUCUUGAUCCACAGCAUGUACCUGGUCGAGUGCUCCCCCAAGAGGUGAGCUACUGGGCACUAAAAAUGGCUGGCCCUGGUUGCUGGGUUUCGGAGGUGUCACUGGGCUGCUGCAGCUGCUGACUCUUCC